UAUGGAUGAGUUUAGCGACCUCGCAGUU
rnacentral:sRNA from 1 species